rnacentral:rRNA from 1 species
AAGCGUUGUUCGGAAUUAUUGGGCGUAAAGCGCGUGUAGGCGGUUUGUUAAGUCUGGUGUGAAAGCCCUGGGCUCAACCUGGGAAGUGCAUUGGAUACUGGCAGACUUGAAUACGGGAGAGGGUAGUGGAAUUCCUGGUGUAGGAGUGAAAUCCGUAGAUAUCAGGAGGAACACCGGUGGCGAAGGCGGCUACCUGGACCGAUAUUGACGCUGAGACGCGAAAGCGUGGGGAGCAAACAGGAUUAGAUACCCUGGUAGUCCACGCCGUAAACGAUGAGUACUAGGUGUUGCGGGUAUUGACCCCUGCAGUACC